rnacentral:rRNA from 1 species
CGCUUUUUGUAAAAUACAUAUGAAAAGUAGAGCCUGCCCAGUGAAAUAUUUUAAACGGCCGCAGUACCCUGACUGUGCGAAGGUAGCAUAAUCGUUUGCCUCUUAAUUAGAGGCUAGUAUGAACGGUUUGACGAAGGCUUAACUGUCUCAUAAUGAUUUAUUAAAAAUUAACUUUUAGGUGCAGAGGCCUAAAUAACUUUGGAGGACAAGAAGACCCUAUUGAGCUUUAGUGAACUUAAUAAACUUAAAAAUUAUUAAUAAAUUUUAUUUAUUAAAACACUUUAGUUGGGGCGACUAAGGAACAAAAAAAACUUCCUAUUACUAAACAUAUAUAUAUAAAGACCCAGGUAAUCCUGAUAAUAAGAAAAAGUUACCAUAGGGAUAACAGCGUAAUCUCUUUUGAGAGCACAUAUCGAAAAAGGGGGUUGCGACCUCGAUGUUGGAUUAAGAUAUCCUGAAGGAGCAGAAGUUGUCAAAGGUUGGUCUGUUCGACCAUUAAAAUCUUACA